rnacentral:rRNA from 1 species
AUUGAACGCUGGCGGCAUGCCUAACACAUGCAAGUCGAACGAGUGGCGGACGGGUGAGUAAUGUCUGGGAAACUGCCUGAUGGAGGGGGAUAACUACUGGAAACGGUAGCUAAUACCGCAUACCCUCGGAUGUGCCCAGAGGGGAUUAGCUAGUAGGUGGGGUAAAGGCUCACCUAGGCGACGAUCCCUGGCUGGUCGGCGAGGAUGAUCACCCAUACUGGAACUGCGACACGUUCCAGACUCCGACGGGAGGAAGCAGUGGGGAAUAUUGCACAAUGGGCGCAAGCCGGAUGCAGCCAUGCCGCGUGUAUGAAGAAGGCCUUCGGGUUGUAAAGUACUUUCAGCGGGGAGGCGUUACCCGCAGAAGAAGCACCGGCUAACUCCGUGCCAGCCGCCGCGGUAAUAC